rnacentral:rRNA from 1 species
AUGUUACAUCAUACUCAAACUGCAAGGAAUUCCCUUGUCCACAAAGUUCGUAGGUUUAUACGAAUAUCAGGUGUUGCUCCAAAGGAACAGCUAGCCGGGAACACCCUUAUGGAUCAUGAGUUGAUGCCCAUAAUCCUAUGCCGCUACUCCCAGAUUGACAUGGAAUCAGACCUAGAACCCCCUACAUCUCAUCGAGCAAGGACAACUCUUCGUUCUGAAUUACAUCAGGGAAGUCGAUCGGCUUUACCUAGAAAAUCAUCUCACACCGGUAAGCGCGUGGGUAAGGGGAGAUGCACAUUUCUCAUGUCGCAGAAAGAUUUUGCUCUAUUAAAAAAAUGUGCAGAACCGGCUACACUAUCUCUGAAGCUCCAUUUGCCCAUGAGGUGA